AUCCUUCGGUUCAUGAGCAUGAUGAUUGGUUAGUUCACGGACACUCUGUGAAAGGUGCGGCCUGAACUUGUUACGCUCUGCGCCUGAAACCGUCUGACC